AUGCAGGCGGAUUCUUUACCAUCUGAGCCACCAGGGAAGCCCCAGAGGGAUACUAACUACUCACUGCUCCUCGGAGGUGGUGUGGGCAUUUACCCCGUGGAUAUUUUGGAAGACGACCCUGCUGGGCAUCAGGAAGCGACUCUGGCUUACUAUGCCAUGCUUGGGGAAGGAGCGAGGCCCUCACCAGAGGUUUUCUCUCUUCCCACUGGGGAACAGGUUAAACUUGAAGCUUCGUCUGUUUGCUUUUGCACCAUGCACCGUGAUGAACCUCAACACAAAAUCUUGGUCUUGGUUAAUCCCCGGGACACAAAGACAGUUGUGGCUGUUUAUGUGAAGCAGUCCUGGUGGACCACUGAAGAUGUACUAAGGACCUCUGAUCCUUCAAGGGAGGGUCUGAUGAAGGUUCAGUCAUUUGGGGAAAGGAUUGUGCUUUUCGUUCUGAACGUCGUUAUUUUUGGAAGACUAGAAAGGAAUUUGGAUGAUGAUGACAUGUUUUUUCUACCUCACUCUGUGAAGGAGGAGGCUAAGAUUCUGUGGCGAGAUGGAGCAGCUGUUGGAUUUUACACAACCAAAAGGAAAGGCAGCCUGUGCGGCGAUGGCACGGGCACCUGCUACCUCCUGCCGGUCUUCGACACCGUGUUUGUCCGGAGGCGCCACCGCCGGCGGGGCCUGGCGCUAGCCAUGCUGCAGGACUUCUGCCAGACGUUCCGAGAGGACGAGGCCCUGGGCGUCAGCUGGCCCAUCUCGCCCGCCAUGUACCAAGUCUGCAGGAAGUUCCUGGCGGCCCACCCAGCCGAGCGGGGACGCCUGUGGGAGGUGGAGCCCCCCGGAGCCUGGGGCCAGCGAGGCAACAUCUGGCUGAAGGUUCAGCUUCAACAGUCAAGACUUCAUCUGGACUCUCACUCAGGACAUUCCAAGGAGGCCGUGGCUACUCGUGGGCAGACUUCUCAGGAUGAUGGACCCAGGCUCUCCCAUAACAGAGAAGACCACAAGGAGAGGAUCAGCGGAGACCAGGAGCAGACCGAUGGAGACCACGCAGUGAAGGCAGCAGCUGGGUGGCUUGCGCGAGCCUGCCAGGCGGGGCAGGAGGGGCCCACAGCGGCGGAUGCCGGGUUGCCCGUGGGCGGGGGUGGGGGUGGGGGUGGCGGCAUGCGGCCUCGCCCGUGA
rnacentral:lncRNA from 1 species